rnacentral:rRNA from 2 species
GUCGUGAAGAGGGAAACAACCCAGACCGCCAGCUAAGGUCCCAAAGUCAUGGUUAAGUGGGAAACGAUGUGGGAAGGCCCAGACAGCCAGGAUGUUGGCUUAGAAGCAGCCAUCAUUUAAAGAAAGCGUAAUAGCUCACUGGUCGAGUCGGCCUGCGCGGAAGAUGUAACGGGGCUAAACCAUGCACCGAAGCUGCGGCAGCGACACUGUGUGUUGUUGGGUAGGGGAGCGUUCUGUAAGCCUGUGAAGGUGUGUCGUGAGGCAUGCUGGAGGUAUCAGAAGUGCGAAUGCUGACAUAAGUAACGAUAAAGCGGGUGAAAAGCCCGCUCGCCGGAAGACCAAGGGUUCCUGUCCAACGUUAAUCGGGGCAGGGUGAGUCGACCCCUAAGGCGAGGCCGAAAGGCGUAGUCGAUGGGAAACGGGUUAAUAUUCCCGUACUUGGUGUUACUGCGAAGGGGGGACGGAGAAGGCUAUGUUGGCCGGGCGACGGUUGUCCCGGUUUAAGCGUGUAGGUGUGUGUUCCAGGUAAAUCCGGUUCACUUUAACACUGAGGCGUGACGACGAGGCACUACGGUGCUGAAGCAACAAAUGCCCUGCUUCCAGGAAAAGCCUCUAAGCAUCAGGUAACAUCAAAUCGUACCCCAAACCGACACAGGUGGUCAGGUAGAGAAUACCAAGGCGCUUGAGAGAACUCGGGUGAAGGAACUAGGCAAAAUGGUGCCGUAACUUCGGGAGAAGGCACGCUGACACGUAGGUGAAGUGAUUUACUCAUGGAGCUGAAGUCAGUCGAAGAUACCAGCUGGCUGCAACUGUUUAUUAAAAACACAGCACUGUGCAAACACGAAAGUGGACGUAUACGGUGUGACGCCUGCCCGGUGCCGGAAGGUUAAUUGAUGGGGUCAGCGCAAGCGAAGCUCCUGAUCGAAGCCCCGGUAAACGGCGGCCGUAACUAUAACGGUCCUAAGGUAGCGAAAUUCCUUGUCGGGUAAGUUCCGACCUGCACGAAUGGCGUAAUGAUGGCCAGGCUGUCUCCACCCGAGACUCAGUGAAAUUGAACUCGCUGUGAAGAUGCAGUGUACCCGCGGCAAGACGGAAAGACCCCGUGAACCUUUACUAUAGCUUGACACUGAACAUUGAGCCUUGAUGUGUAGGAUAGGUGGGAGGCUUUGAAGUGUGGACGCCAGUCUGCAUGGAGCCGACCUUGAAAUACCACCCUUUAAUGUUUGAUGUUCUAACGUGGACCCGUUACCCGGGUUGCGGACAGUGUCUGGUGGGUAGUUUGACUGGGGCGGUCUCCUCCUAAAGAGUAACGGAGGAGCACGAAGGUUGGCUAAUCCUGGUCGGACAUCAGGAGGUUAGUGCAAUGGCAUAAGCCAGCUUGACUGCGAGCGUGACGGCGCGAGCAGGUGCGAAAGCAGGUCAUAGUGAUCCGGUGGUUCUGAAUGGAAGGGCCAUCGCUCAACGGAUAAAAGGUACUCCGGGGAUAACAGGCUGAUACCGCCCAAGAGUUCAUAUCGACGGCGGUGUUUGGCACCUCGAUGUCGGCUCAUCACAUCCUGGGGCUGAAGUAGGUCCCAAGGGUAUGGCUGUUCGCCAUUUAAAGUGGUACGCGAGCUGGGUUUAGAACGUCGUGAGACAGUUCGGUCCCUAUCUGCCGUGGGCGCUGGAGAACUGAGGGGGGCUGCUCCUAGUACGAGAGGACCGGAGUGGACGCAUCACUGGUGUUCGGGUUGUCAUGCCAAUGGCACUGCCCGGUAGCUAAAUGCGGAAGAGAUAAGUGCUGAAAGCAUCUAAGCACGAAACUUGCCCCGA